rnacentral:rRNA from 1 species
GAUGAACGCUGGCGGCGUGCUUAACACAUGCAAGUCGAACGGUGAAGCAGGAGCUUGCUCUUGUGGAUCAGUGGCGAACGGGUGAGUAACACGUGAGCAACCUGCCCCUGACUCUGGGAUAAGCGCUGGAAACGGCGUCUAAUACUGGAUAUGUGAUGUGACCGCAUGGUCUGCAUCUGGAAAGAAUUUCGGUUGGGGAUGGGCUCACGGCCUAUCAGCUUGUUGGUGGGGUAAUGGCUCACCAAGGCGUCGACGGGUAGCCGGCGUGAGAGGGUGACCGGCCACGCGGGGAAUGAGACACGGCCCAGACUCCUACGGGAGGCAGCAGUGGGGAAUAUUACACAAUGGGCGGAAGCCUGAUGCAGCAACGCCGCGGGAGGGAUGACGGCCUUCGGGUUGUAAACCUCUUUUAGCAGGGAAGAAGCGAAAGUGACGGUACCUGCAGAAAAAGCACCGGCUAACUACGUGCCAGCCGCCGCCGUAA